CAGUGGAACACAGCGGUUUGGGAAAGAUGAUCCUCUGGAAGAUGGGAGGGCUGACCCCAGAAGGAAGCCUGUGCUUGAGGCUUGGUCUCCUGGCAGAGAAGGAACAGGGGGAAAAGGUGGGAAGAACUUUAAAACCAUCAGCUGAUGUUCUUUGAGUGCUCAUGCUUUCAGCAGGAGAAGCCGAGGGGAAUUUUUCCUUCCAUGUGGAUGGAAGCAGGAUCAGGCUAUUUAUCUUUGAUGAAAUGCCAAGAAAUGGCUGGUUGUGUUCAGAAGCAGCAAAAAAGAUGUAAUAAAUUGUGCUUCCUGCUCUGAGAAAUGAGUGAGGAGCCCAGAUCUGAUAGCUGCCUGCACACAUCCUUCCUUUUGUGCUGUGAGUGAUGGGACUGCAGCACCCAGAGAGGAUCUGGGGUUGGAGAACACGCCGAGGUCUGACACUUCUGCCACCUGAAGAGCUGACUAAACUUGCCUUGGAGUGUUAGAGGAGGGGGACUGGGAGUUGUAGAGGUCCCAUUUCCACAGGACAGCUCUGUGGGUGCUGUGGGUCGCUUACUGCACGGAAGAAAAGCAGCCCCAGUUCUGGGGUUCACCUGACUUUGGGAAGUCAGCCUAUUAAAAAUUAUCUUCAAACUCCAAGCAGGGCAAAAAAGAACUCCAGGCUGCUAUUCCUGGUGGGAAAGCACGGAGAAGGGAAGGCACUGAGGGUCUGCUGUGGAAUCAGAGGCAGCUGAAGGGAGGAGGACCUCAAUGCCUGUAAAGAGAAUCCACCUGGAUAAACAGGCAGCACCACCCCUGUUUAUUCUGUGUAUUCCUGUCUAACAAAGUGCUGCUCCUGUUGCUGUGGGAGCUGGAGUGAUGUGAGAUUUAAGAGGCUGGUGAAGAUGCUGUGCUGAGCUGCUUGAUGCCACCUCAGCCAGAGAACAACAUCGCUGCCUCCCCCUGAAUAUUUUGCCUUGAAGAUUGGAAGCUCCACAUCAAUCCAAAAUCCCAUUAUUGGCUUUUUUUUCACUAUUAUUUCUUUUGUAACAGAGCCAGAGGAGCGGUUGGCCCUGCCCUUUUUCCAGCAUCCUGGUUUUCCCUCUGUCUUGCCUGCCUGGGAAACACCAGCAUUGCACAGUGCCUGUGCUGGCUCACAAGUGACUCAGUACUUGAUCAAUACUGCUGGUGGCUGUUGGUGCAGCCACUGAUGGGAAGCUGGAGGAGAAUUAUUCCGGUGAAAGCCUCCGAGAAAAAUCAGUCAGAGAAGGCUGCCCCGUGCCAUGGAUGCUGUCCUCCACACCCUGUGCACCAUCCAUCUUCCCAACUAUGUGCUGUCACUUCUUCCAGGAAGGGGCAGAUUAAAAAAAAAUUGGUCAUGACAGGGGCUCUUUGUUAAAUGGAAACUGUUUUAGUGGAAAAACAGCAGCCUGUGUCCCUCACCGAGCACUUAGAGGUAAUGUUUGUACAU